rnacentral:rRNA from 1 species
AUACGUAGGUGACAAGCGUUAUCCGGAUUUACUGGGCGUAAAGGGCGUGUAGGCGGUCUUGCAAGUCAGAAGUGAAAUUCCUGAGCUCAACUCGGGCGCUGCUUCUGAAACUGCAGGACUUGAGUGCUGGAGGGGAUAGCGGAAUUCCUAGUGGAGCGGUAAAAUGCGCAGAUAUUAGGAAGAACACCGGUGGCGAAGGCGGCGAUCUGGACAGUAACGGACGCUGAGGCGCGAAAGCGUGGGGAGCAAACAGGAUUAGAUACCCUGGUAUUCCACGCCGUAAACGAUGAAUACUAGGUGUAGGGGGUAUCGACUCCCUCUGUGCCGCAGUUAACACAAUAAGUAUUCCGCCUGGGGAGUACGGCCGCAAGGUUGAAACUCAAAUGAAUUGACGGGG